rnacentral:lncRNA from 11 species
GUGGAUGAGUGGGCAUGAUCCAAAGCGGUUGGUUGAGCCGGCUGCCAAGUCAUAGUGCUUUCCCUUCACUUUCAGACUGACCUGCAGCAGAAGUUGUCGCAGAGUCAAUAAUAUCCUAAAGGCAGGAGAAAAAGAAUAAGUCAGGAUUUCUCGGCUUCGGUGACUCCAAAACAGGUUUCGGGAGCACCAUGUAUUUCGCAGACUAUCACGGCCAUGGCGUUUCUCAUAUGAGAACAGAGCCUUUGAGAAAGAAAAUCAAGCUGGAAACAGAAGAGAGAGUAUGCACAAGUAGGGAUAGAAGCACUUUCAGCCGAUGGCAGGAGAAGAAAGAGUCGCGGUCUUUAGAAAUAGACAGCAAAGCAGAAGAGAAGAGGAUUGAGAAAAAUAAAGUUUUGGAUGUAAAGCAGGAGGAAGAAGGACGAGAAGAAAGUCUGAGAGAUGUUGGCGAAGCGAAGGAUGGAACGAAAGGAGCCGAAGAAGAGAAGAAUGAGAAAAAGUGGCUGAAGGAGGAGAGUGAAGGAGAGGAAGAUGCAGAUGCUGAAGAAAGGAGGACGAAGAAGAGCAAAGUGGAGGAAGGAAAGAGAGAAGGAGAAGAGGAUGAGGAGGAAUUGGGUGGAAAAGCAUUGAGGAAGGAAGGAACGGAUUUAGCAGAUGGAUAUGGGCUGCCAUCCCAAAUCCAGAGCGAAUGCGAUUUCGGAGAGAUGAAAUCAAACAAAAGGAAGGAUAGCAAAGAAAUAGUGGAGGAUUGCAGGAGAAAGAGGGUCAAGAAGAGCAAGAGCAAAAGAGGCGUCCAGAAAACAAGGCCGAGGAAGAGAAAAGCGGAGGAAGCGGAGGGAUGCCUAAGGAAGAAGAAGAAGAAGAGGGAAGAAGGAGGGAAGGGGAGAGGAGACUCGAAGGAGGAGAAGUGGAAGUGGUGAGUGCCAAACUUGAGUUGGAAUCGUAUACAAAAUAAAUCUAUAUCUAUAAAAGGGUAAUGAAAUUUCGGCCUAGGACAAAACAACAAAACUACACAUCCCAGAAACACUAAACUUGGCAGCACAACCCCUCAUCCAUGCCUCUACGUUCAUACAACAAAAAGCUCCAGCUACUCCAGAAAACGGCCAGGCUUUGAGACUGCAAGGCU